rnacentral:lncRNA from 1 species
CGUCUUGUCGAUCUUUCAUGCGUCGAAGUCGUCGAAUCAGCAGUCCCAUACGUUUGUAACUGUCGUGCGUCCGAGCCAAAGUCCCCCUUUACUCCUUGCUCCGCUGAAAAGAGGCUCCGAGCCAAAAUCUCCCUCCGCACGCGUCCCUAUCAGUGCUGAGGUCCGUCGGGCUACAGGACUGCAAGCAUCCGAUCUUCAUAUAAUAGAGAGAUAUGGGGUCACAGUUCCCCCAGCCCGACGCCAAAGCCAGAUCGAC